UACGUAGGGUGCGAGCGUUGUCCGGAAUUAUUGGGCGUAAAGAGCUCGUAGGCGGUUUGUCACGUCUGCUGUGAAAUCCCGAGGCUCAACCUCGGGCCUGCAGUGGGUACGGGCAGACUGGAGUGCGGUAGGGGAGAAUGGAAUUCCUGGUGUAGCGGUGAAAUACGCAGAUAUCAGGAGGAACACCGAUGGCGAAGGCAGGUCUCUGGGCCAUAACUGACGCUGAGAAGCGAAAGCAUGGGGAGCGAACAGG
rnacentral:rRNA from 1 species